UCCUUGAUGGCUCAGACAGUAAAGUGUCUGUCUCAAUGCAGGAGACCCAGGUUCGAUCCCUGGUUCGGGAA
rnacentral:tRNA from 1 species